UAUUACUAAAAAAAUCUCCAAUGACCAAGCGAUACCAGUUCAACAUCCCAAAAGUGUUAGUGCCCCACAAAAACUCAAAAUGCAACAGUUAAUUUUUUAUUUUUCAUUCGGUAUUUUUCUCGUCUCAGUCUCCGCCUGGAGCAAAGAAACUCAUCUCAUGAUUCAAAAUUUUUCGAAAGAUGACAUCAUAACGACAGUUGUGAAUGGCGUAGACAGUUAUGAUUUUGAGAAAGGAAACGGUCCAAUAGAGAAGUUCCAAGGAGCGGCAAUUCCUGCAGGAGCUUUUCUUGAAAAGAGAAUCGAAGUGGACUAUUUCGCGUCAAAUUGUCCUUUUACCAUGACUUUUUCGUUUCGCGAUGGCUCAAAAACUUGGUUUAGAAUUAAUCAAAAGCAUGUACUCGGCUCGAAAGCAGAAUUUUCGUACAAAGGGAGCCGCGAGAUUACGUACUAUAAAUCUGGAAAAACUCUUGUUGUAACUGUUAAAGAUAUUAGUAAAACGGAUACACCUACUGUACCCAAAGAGACAGCUAACAGUAAAACGGUUACACCCACUAGACCGGAAGAAAUAGAUAACAGUAAAACGGAUACACCAUCUACACCCAAAGAGACAGAUAACUGUAAAACGGUUACACCGAUUAUACCGAAAGAAACAGAUAAUAGUAAAACGGAUACACCCGCUAUACCCAAAGAGACAGAUAAGUCAGAUAAUAGUAAACAGAUUAUACCCACUGCACCCAAAAACACACAACAAAUAUCUGAAGACCAGUUUCGCCUACCAAUUUGGUAUUAUCAUCUGCAACAGUUAUUUUUUCACAUAACUAACUUAAUAAAUGCUGUUAUCGGUAUAUUUUAUCACAUAAGUUACUUAAAAGACGCUGUUAUCGGUAUAUACAGUUAUUUUUAUUACUUUAACUGAAGAUUAAUGGGCAGAGGAGUCGUGUUAUGUCUGUGGAACUGUACGAUUAUAAUCAGUACUCACUGUUAUAACAAAUUAUAGACCAACAAAUAUAGUUUGAAAACUAAUUAAUUAAUCUAAGGACUUUGACGACGAAAGUUUCUAGUUCUCUAAUUCUUCUGGCUGUCAAUACGGGUAAAGUGUAAACGUCCUUAAAAAAUAAAUAAUUAUUUAUA